AGCUCCAAUAGCGUAUAUUAAAGUUGUUGCAGUUAAAAAGCUCGUAGUUGGAUUUGUGGUUGGAAAGGUCCGCCGUUGCUAUGCUUCGUGUUGGAUUUUUCCGUCCAUCCUUGGGUGGAUCCUGUGUGGCAUUCAGUUGUCGUGCAGGGGAUGCCCAUCGUUUACUGUGAAAAAAUUAGAGUGUUCAAAGCAGGCUUACGCCUUGAAUAUAUUAGCAUGGAAUAAUAAGAUAGGACCUGGGUACUAUUUUGUUGGUUUGCGCACCGAGGUAAUGAUUAAUAGGGACAGUUGGGGGUAUUCGUAUUCCAUUGUCAGAGGUGAAAUUCUUGGAUUUUUGGAAGACGAACUACUGCGAAAGCAUUUACCAAGGAUGUUUUCAUUA
rnacentral:rRNA from 1 species